AAUAAGUUACUUCCUGAAACCUUUGGUGGGGCGGGAUCCAUGUCCUGGCUCUCCUUCUGUUUCUAGUGUUUUCCCUCCUCCAGGAUCCUGAUACGUGGCUGUUUGGGAGAGCCGUAGGGACCUCCUGUGCUGCAGCUAGCGGAUCCCUGCCCUGCGCAGCUUGAGUCUGCUGUGAAAGUCAACGUUGCACUGCAAGUCUCCCCUCAUCAAGCCGUCCUGGAUGGCAGGGACACACUGGUGCAAAGACUGUCGAAACCACAAGCAUUACUGGGUGCAAGGGCUGUUUGGACCGUGGGACGGAUGAAAGGUGGAAGCUGUAGGAAGCCCAGCUGGGCUUUAGCUGCUCUGUUGAUCCCAGUUACCCUGCUGAUGCUGAGCUCCAGGGGGGCAUCAAGCAGCCACAAGAUGACACAAUCAGCUAUGGCUCACGCAACAGCCACUGCUGCGGGACCCGGCCCCAGCUUGACAGAUUACCUCCCAGACCUCCAGGCAGUAGCAAACUUCUUAUACAGCGAACAUGCUCAUGUUUGGCUCUUGUCCCUGGUGGGCUCUGUUGCUGUUGGCCUCAGUGGGAUUUUCCCCCUUCUUGUGAUCCCCAUUGAAGCUGGCGCAAGCCUUAAAACGGAAGCUGGUGGCCAGAAGCUGAAACAGCUUUUGAGCUUUGCUAUUGGUGGUCUCCUUGGUGAUGUAUUCCUUCACCUCCUUCCUGAGGCGUGGGCAUUUUCUGGCUCUUCUGCUGGUAAACACAACCACAACAUGACCCAGGGCUUGUGGGUAAUUGUUGGCCUGUUGGCCUUUCUCAUCCUGGAGAAGAUGUUCCCAGAUCAAGUCAGCCACGAGGACCCCACUUCAGAUUCAGACCUGAAUUCUAACUCUGCUUCACAGUCUAAUUCAGCUUUCAGUGGAAAGGCAGUGGCAACACUCAAAAAUGUGCACCAUGCUGAGUCAUGGAAAUCCUCCAAGCAGCAGAGUCUGCAGGAAAGAUCAGAGAAAAUCAAGAUAAGUGGAUACCUAAACCUCCUGGCCAACUGCAUUGACAACUUCACCCAUGGACUGGCAGUAGCAGGAAGUUUCCAGGUUAGCAAAAAGGUCGGGUUCCUCACCACCUUUGCCAUCCUGCUCCAUGAAAUCCCCCACGAGGUGAGAUUACAAAGUCCUUACAGUGCUUGUGAACACGCUGAAUGUUUAGUCAUUCCUCCACUGUGUGAACUGUCAUUGUUUGCAGGUGGGAGACUUUGCCAUUUUGCUGAGGGCUGGAUUUGACCGGUGGAGUGCUGCCCGCUUGCAGCUGUCCACGGCGCUAGUUGGUGUCUUGGGAGCUUGCUUUGCUCUGUGCGCUCAGUCACCAGAAGGCACAGAAAAUGCCACUGCCUGGAUAUUGCCUUUCACCGCUGGAGGCUUCCUCUACAUAUCAUUGGUGAAUGUGGUGCCUGACCUGCUAGAGGAGUCCAGUUUAAGGCAGUCCCUACUGCAGAUCAUGCUCAUUUUCUGUGGCGUGGCUGUCAUGGCUGUGCUUUCUGCAGUUGUUGAGUGAACAUGGAGGAAAACACCCUCUCGCCUUAACCAGAAACUAAAACUCAGCAUUCUCCAACAAACGCUUGUAUCUGGUACCUCUCAUUUCUAGGAAACCUUUCAUUACAUUACACUAAAACAAAUAUCUGACAGAAGAACGGCACUUUACGACUUAUGACUGAAAGGAGGACCUUCUUGUUCUGCUGAUGGGGCAUUUGGGGGUGAAAAUUGUUCCAGACUUAAACCUCAAGGGAAUUAAGAGGGUUCGUAUGGAUCUCUGUUACCAAAUUGUCUUAUAUUGUUUAUCAGACAAUCAUUGUUUUGCACACACAUUUACGCAGGUACACCUGAUGUACACACUCCACAGAAUAGGUAUUUUUAGACCUCUAAAAGGACCUUUUUUCUUUAAAAUGUAUUCAACCAUAAAUUGUUUAAACCAUUGUAUGUAUUGUUGCUGUUUAUGAUGUGGCUGCUGCAUAUUUAUUGAAAAUUAGACAAGCAACAUAGUUUUAUCAGACAUGCACCACCACUUCAUCAUUUUGAUGUUGUUGAGAAGUAAGUGCCAAGAAGUCAGGAUGGUCUGUUUCACCAGUGGCAGGUCUACACCAAAGUAAUUCUUUUCUGUUUUGUAUCUUGUCUGCACCUUUUGAUCUUUGCUUAAAUAAAUAAUUGUGAUAAAGUUGAGAUGAAUUAAUGAAAAAGAUUGCUACUGUUUGUUAAUAUUCAAGUUUGACAUACAGUAUACUUAAAAUAUUUUGAUACUAGGGAGGGAUGGAUAACACCAACUUUAAAAAAAAAAACCUAACCAUGCAGGAUUAUUGAUAGCAUUAUGUUAAUAAAUAUUUGGUGACAUUUUCCACUCCUGAAGAAAUAAACUAACAUGUCUGACA